rnacentral:rRNA from 1 species
CAGUAGCCGCGGGAAUACGUAGGGCGCAAGCGUUGUCCGGAAUUAUUGGGCGUAAAGAGCUCGUGGGCGGUCUGUCGCGUCUGGUGUGAAAUCCCGAGGCUCAACCUCGGGCUUGCAUCGGGUACGGGCAGACUAGAGUGCGGUAGGGGAGACUGGAAUUCCUGGUGUAGCGGUGGAAUGCGCAGAUAUCAGGAGGAACACCGAUGGCGAAGGCAGGUCUCUGGGCCGCAACUGACGCUGAGGAGCGAAAGCAUGGGGAGCGAACAGGAUUAGAUACCCCCGUAGUCCCUGUCUCUUAUAC